rnacentral:rRNA from 1 species
UGCAAGUCGAGCGAACAGAUAAGGAGCUUGCUCCUUUGACGUUAGCGGCGGACGGGUGAGUAACACGUGGGUAACCUACCUAUAAGACUGGGAUAACUUCGGGAAACCGGAGCUAAUACCGGAUAACAUUUGGAACCGCAUGGUUCUAAAGUGAAAGAUGGUUUUGCUAUCACUUAUAGAUGGACCCGCGCCGUAUUAGCUAGUUGGUAAGGUAACGGCUUACCAAGGCGACGAUACGUAGCCGACCUGAGAGGGUGAUCGGCCACACUGGAACUGAGACACGGUCCAGACUCCUACGGGAGGCAGCAGUAGGGAAUCUUCCGCAAUGGGCGAAAGCCUGACGGAGCAACGCCGCGUGAGUGAUGAAGGGUUUCGGCUCGUAAAACUCUGUUAUUAGGGAAGAACAAACGUGUAAGUAACUGUGCACGUCUUGACGGUACCUAAUCAGAAAGCCACGGCUAACUACGUGCCAGCAGCCGCGGUAAUACGUAGGUGGCAAGCGUUAUCCGGAAUUAUUGGGCGUAAAGCGCGCGUAGGCGGUUUCUUAAGUCUGAUGUGAAAGCCCACGGCUCAACCGUGGAGGGUCAUUGGAAACUGGGAAACUUGAGUGCAGAAGAGGAAAGUGGAAUUCCAUGUGUAGCGGUGAAAUGCGCAGAGAUAUGGAGGAACACCAGUGGCGAAGGCGACUUUCUGGUCUGUAACUGACGCUGAUGUGCGAAAGCGUGGGGAUCAAACAGGAUUAGAUACCCUGGUAGUCCACGCCGUAAACGAUGAGUGCUAAGUGUUAGGGGGUUUCCGCCCCUUAGUGCUGCAGCUAACGCAUUAAGCACUCCGCCUGGGGAGUACGACCGCAAGGUUGAAACUCAAAGGAAUUGACGGGGACCCGCACAAGCGGUGGAGCAUGUGGUUUAAUUCGAAGCAACGCGAAGAACCUUACCAAAUCUUGACAUCCUUUGAAAACUCUAGAGAUAGAGCCUUCCCCUUCGGGGGACAAAGUGACAGGUGGUGCAUGGUUGUCGUCAGCUCGUGUCGUGAGAUGUUGGGUUAAGUCCCGCAACGAGCGCAACCCUUAAGCUUAGUUGCCAUCAUUAAGUUGGGCACUCUAGGUUGACUGCCGGUGACAAACCGGAGGAAGGUGGGGAUGACGUCAAAUCAUCAUGCCCCUUAUGAUUUGGGCUACACACGUGCUACAAUGGACAAUACAAAGGGCAGCUAAACCGCGAGGUCAUGCAAAUCCCAUAAAGUUGUUCUCAGUUCGGAUUGUAGUCUGCAACUCGACUACAUGAAGCUGGAAUCGCUAGUAAUCGUAGAUCAGCAUGCUACGGUGAAUACGUUCCCGGGUCUUGUACACACCGCCCGUCACACCACGAGAGUUUGUAACACCCGAAGCCGGUGGAGUAACCAUUAUGGAGCUAGC